rnacentral:tRNA from 2 species
GCGGAGGUGGCCCAGCCUGGUACGGCGCGGGACUGCUAAUCCCGUUGGGCGUUAUGCCCAUCCCGAGUUCAAAUCUCGGCCUCCGCGCCA